GGCCCGGUGGCAGAGUGGCCAUGCAGAGGACUGCAAAUCCUCGUACGUCGGUUCGAUUCCGGCCCGGGCCUCCA
rnacentral:tRNA from 1 species